GGAAAAAGAAAACGGUCCGUCUCUAAACAGGGCUCGCUACCGACAGAGCUCGAAAACAGACGUGUUAUAUUUACUUGAGGGAAGAGAUAUUUCUUAUAUAAUUGUGGAAUGAGGAAGACGAAGAGACAAAAGAAGUCGUCAGGAUGACGCAUUUAAACUGAAGACUGGAGGUGUUGUUGACAUGAAGAAAGUGAAGGACAGAAACCGAGACGUGUACUCCCCACUAAAGGACAGCAGAUGAAAACGGCCUGCAUCUUGGUACCUCGUUUUCUGCUGAAACUAAAAGACGCGACGAAGAUGAUGAAGUACAUUGAGAAUGAAUGAAAGAAAAAGAAAUGCAUGGUUGAGGCAGAGGAGCAAAAGGUGUAAGUGAAGAAUCCAGUGGACCUCCUGUACGAGCUUCCAGAGAACAUCCGUGUCAGAUCAGCCAAAAAGACAGAAGAAAUGUUGUCCAAUCAGAUGCUGAGUGGAAUUCCAGAGGUGGAUCUGGAGACAGAGCUAUCAUGAGGAUGUAAACGCAUCCCAGAGACGCCACAGAGAAGAGCCCAAAGCCAGGCCACUACAAGUAGGAGACACUGAAAAGCCUGCCCCAGAGACUUCACCACCUAAUUUCCGUAAGAGACUGAAUUACAAGAAGGCCACAGAUGACUACCACCACUAUGAGAAAUUCAAGAUGAGCCAAAGAUACUAAUCUUCUGCGGUUAUGUGCACACAAGUCAAUCUGACAAUAUAUUUU